CUCAUCAGAGGUGCCCGUUCAGUAGCGUCUGUACAUGCAGUUUGUGGCCAGUUAGACAAGCAGCUCGCGCUACUGUGAGUACAUUAAUUUUGUGCAAAAUUCACGGGACUGUGAAUCGAGGAAGUCAAAGAAGGAAGAGCGCCGGGAUAGUGGUUUGCCAUCAAAACGUUUACAUGGGUGGUGAAGGGAUUCUACCUUAAGAAUGUGUGAAAUUAAAGUCUACAUUCUGCUUUUCUGGCUAAGUUUUACAGCGGUACACAGUCAGCAGGAUGUCAGCCCUCCAAGGAUCUUAAAUGGGGAAGAACUUCUAGUGAAUAGAAGACCUGUAACACUGACUUGCGAGGGAAACGAAGCUCUCGUCUGGACAUACAAGUACCUGGAUUGCCAUUAUGUGAGUCUCUCUCUCUCUCUCUCCUUCAAGGAGCGCACAUGGGUGGCGUUUGCACUGAAUAAAGGGCUGUAUAUAGGCCAAGUUGAACUGGGAAACUUUACCCAGCAGAUCUUCUUUCCAUGACCUAUGACCCAGUUUAAGAAGGCUUGGGAGGAAGAGGAGGCUAGUGACCUAAAGAGAUGCAAGGCAUCGCAGACAGCUGAAGUUUGCCAUGUUCCUGCCACCACCAACCACUGCCAACUAACGUGGAUGGAACAAGAAUCGUGACUGUAAUAACUAACCUUCUUAACAUCACUGGCGUUGUUCUACUGUCCACAAUGUUGACUUGUGAAUCACUUUUGUAUUUUACCGAAUUUUUAUUUAUUUAUUUAUUGUUCACUCGAACUUUGCAGGAAAGUCGGUUAACCUCACGAAAGUUGUCAUGCCUUCUAUUGCCACAUUUACUUUUUGUGCCACAAUAUUUAGAUUGCCAGGUUUACUGACUGCUGCUUUCCUUUCGCUGCACACCUCCGGAAUUCUCCUGCUUCCUUUUUCCCCAUUCACAUCUGUUUUUCCGUCUUUUAUCUUCUUGUUUCCA